UUGCUCCCUUCAGCAGUACAUAUACUAAAAUUGGAGCAAUACAGAGAAGAUUAACAUGGCCCCUGUGAAAGGAUGACAUGCAAAUUUGUGAAGUGUUCCAUAUUUAA